rnacentral:lncRNA from 1 species
CAUACCUGUACAGCCUGAUACUUUACUGAAUAUACCAUAAGCAGUUGUAACACAAUGUAAGUACUUGUGUACCUGAACAUAGAGAAGGUACAGUAAGAAUAGAGUAUAAGAUAUUUUAAAAUGGUACUCCUGUAUAGGGCACUUACCAUGAAAGGAGCUUGCAGGACUGGAAAUUUUGGCUUUUGUUGCCAUUGCUUUUGGUGUUUUAGACAUGAAGUCCUUGCCCAUGCCUAUGUCCUGAAUGGUAAUGCCUAGGUUUUCUUCUAGGGUUUUUAUGGUUUUAGGUCUAACGUUUAAGUCUUUAAUCCAUCUUGAUGCCCAGCUUUGGUAUGAGAAUGACACUGGCCUCAUAAAAUGAGUUAGGGAAGACUCCCUCUUUUUCUAUUGAUUGGAAUAGUUUCAGAAGGAAUGGUACCAGUUCCUCCUUAUACCUCUAGUAGAAUUGGCAUGCACCUGUAGUCCCAGCUACUCAAGAGGCUGAGGCAGGAGAAUCGCUUGAACCCAGGAGGCAGAGGCAGAGGUCGCAGUGAGCCAAGAUUGCGUCACUGCACUCCAGACUCAAAAUAUAUAUAUAUAUAUAUAUAUAUAUAUAUAUAUAUAUAUAUAUAUAAUCAUUAUGUGGAAAUAAAUUGCCAACCUUUUCAUGUCACCUCCCAACCUUAUCUUUAUAUCCUCUGAUUAACAAUUUUCAUUAGUAAUGUGUUACACAACAAAUACUUGUUUAGACUAACCUACAUUUUUCUCAAAUAUUAUGUCUUCUUCAUUCUUUCAAUUAUGUUUCUGAAACUACCAAUAAUUGUGUUUUAGAUCUUUUCCAUAAUCUAAAUCUCUCAUUUUCCACCUCAAAAGUGCUGGGAUUACAGGCGCGAGCCACCAUGCCCAGCCUGGUCCAUUAUUUUAGUAAAUGUUUAGCCCUCCAAGGCUUCCAGUUUUGCAGGAUGACAAUAAUCAGAGGGGACGAGGAAAGAAACUUUCUUCUAACUCUCUGCCUGGAGUGUUUAUUUUCUUUCUUUUAAGGGAUGUUACUGGCUGGUUUUACAAUUAGGAAUGUUCCAUUCAUCAAUGAACAUGUCCAUGUUCCUAACGCAUGGUCUUCAAUUUUAAAAUGAGAUUAUAUUCUCCAGUAGAAAGUAUGAACCAAGGAGAAAAUUGAAAAGUUCUCUCUUUUAAAAUGAAUUAUGCAGUUUUUAAGUUAUUUUCUUUGGCAUGUUAGUAUUGUAUUUAUACUUAUCACGUUAAUUUCACGUGAUCAAUUUAUUCCUUUUCAUCUGUAUUAUAUCUGUAUGUUUUAAUCUAUCUAAUGGCCUAUUCCUCAUAACUAUAUGUAAAUACAGUUGCA